AAGUCCCGCAACGAGCGCAACCCUUGUCUUUAAUUGCCAGCAUUCAGUUGGGCACUUUAAAGAGACUGCCGGUGUUAAGCCGGAGGAAGGUGGGAUGACGUCAAGUCCUCAUGGCCUUUACGACCAGGGCUACACACGUGCUACAAUGGAUGGUACAAAGAGCAGCGAUCUCGCGAGAGGGAGCAAAUCUCAAAAACCCAAUCCUCAGUUCGGAUUGGAGUCUGCAACUCGACUCCAUGAAGUUGGAAUCGCUAGUAAUCGCGGAUCAGCAUGCCGCGGUCGAAUACGUUCCCGGGCCUU
rnacentral:rRNA from 1 species